rnacentral:rRNA from 1 species
GACGAACGCUGGCGGCGUGCCUAAUACAUGCAAGUAGAACGCUGAAGGAGGAGCUUGCUUCUCUGGAUGAGUUGCGAACGGGUGAGUAACGCGUAGGUAACCUGCCUGGUAGCGGGGGAUAACUAUUGGAAACGAUAGCUAAUACCGCAUAAGAGUAGAUGUUGCAUGACAUUUACUUAAAAGGUGCAAUUGCAUCACUACCAGAUGGACCUGCGUUGUAUUAGCUAGUUGGUGAGGUAACGGCUCACCAAGGCAACGAUACAUAGCCGACCGGAGAGGGGGAGCGGCCACACUGGGACUGAGACACGGCCCAGACUCCUACGGGAGGCAGCAGUAGGGAAUCGUCGGCAAUGGACGGAAGUCUGACCGAGCAACGCCGCGUGAGUGAAGAAGGUUUUCGGAUCGUAAAGCUCUGUUGUAAGAGAAGAACGAGUGUGAGAGUGGAAAGUUCACACUGUGACGGUAUCUUACCAGAAAGGGACGGCUAACUACGUG